AACGAACGCUGGCGGCAUGCCUAACACAUGCCAGUCGAACGAGACCUUCGGGUCUAGUGGCGCACGGGUGCGUAACGCGUGGGAACCUGCCCUUAGGUUCGGAAUAACUCCCCGAAAGGGGUGCUGAUACCGGAUAAUGUCUUCGGACCAAAGAUUUAUCGCCUUUGGAUGGGCCCGCGUUGGAUUAGCUAGUUGGUAGGGUAAAAGCCUACCAAGGCGACGAUCCAUAGCUGGUCUGAGAGGAUGAUCAGCCACACUGGGACUGAGACACGGCCCAGACUCCUACGGGAGGCAGCAGUGGGGAAUAUUGGACAAUGGGCGAAAGCCUGAUCCAGCAAUGCCGCGUGAGUGAUGAAGGCCUUAGGGUUGUAAAGCUCUUUUACCCGGGAUGAUAAUGACAGUACCGGGAGAAUAAGCUCCGGCUAACUCCGUG
rnacentral:rRNA from 1 species